rnacentral:lncRNA from 1 species
AUAACGUAAAUAGCGUAAAUAAUUAUCUAAACAUACGAAACAUAAAUACAGUCGCAUGCAAUAAUAUCAUACAGUAACUACCAUAACUAACAGCCAUAGUGGGGAGGGGGGACAUCAGCUAAAACAGCCAUAGGAUGAUGAAAGAAACAGAAGUUAAAAUUAAGCAAAACUUACUAUUACGACUCUAAGUUGUGACGCCUAUCAAUUUAAUCACCCGAGCAAUUCCGGUGACGUUCAAGCGCCAUUGACACUGGAAUACCAAUUCGAACUCCGGGAUAAUAUAAUCAUUCAUUCUUUGUCAAAAUAAAUGAAAAUAUUAUUCCAGAACUCCAAUCCAAAACAUGAGGCAAUGAACUGGCCCAACUUGAACCCAACGGAAUAUUAGGGUUCUGCUCGUCUAAAAAUUUUGGCGUUCGAUCAGAUGUAAGAUAAUUCGAGAAAAACUAGUUGGAGAUUGGGGAUGAGGGGGUUGAGGAGGCUCAGAGGUGUGAAUUUGGGGAAUUUUGGACGAAGUUACAAUUCGGCCGGAGAACUCUCUGACGAAGAUUUGAGGGGUUUACGUAACAUUCGAAGGAAGCAGCCAGUGGAUUUGGACAGAGGAGGUGAAGGAGAAGUUGUGGUGUGAAUUUGGUGGUGAUUGGCGUUGGUUUGGUUCGCCGGCGGCGAGGUCUCUGGCGGGACUAGGAGUUUGUACGAGGAAGAAGGGGCUGGUCUCUACUCUCU